rnacentral:misc_RNA from 1 species
GCCAAUGUAUACCAAUGCCAAAAUCCAAUUGGGUUUUAUGUUUUAGUUUAAACUAUGCAUUUAUUGUUUAUCGCUCUUCUUCUAAUUAUGAUGGGAAAUGUUUCCAUUGGACUAGAUUCAGGAAUUUGUUCUAAUAUUUCCAAUGGGUUUGUGAUUUGUAUCAUAACAUAAGAACAUUAUCCAUGUAAAAGCUAUUCAAAUAUUAAAUUUAACAAUUCACAUUUUUACAUCGCUUGAAUGAAUCUAAUGCAGGGAUCCUUUGGCGUGCUGUAGAAAUUAUAGAAUUGUUGACACUUCUUGUGAAGGUAAUGCAUAAAAUAUUUAUAUCACAUAGAAUAAGUAUCCCAUCGUAACAAAAAAAAACAUUUUAAAAUAUUUGAUUGCACUUUGACAAGAAUGCCCUCCUGGUAGUUUUGGAAUAGACUGUCUGGACAAAUGCCCGCCACAAUUCUAUGGAAGAUUCUGCAGAGAAAAGUGUUCGUGUGAUCCGUGUGAUAAAAUUACUGGAUGUUUGAAAGUUACAACAAUGAAUACCACUCGUGUGUCUAAAGAGGACGGAUUAUGUGUAAAUGUAUCAAAUGGAGAGGCACUAGAAUGCUGUCCUAAUUAUCGAUAUGCUGGUUGCUCAUGUGACGUGAACGAUCAAAUGAGAAACUGUUCAGAUAAUACCAUUCAGGAGAGUUAUCACCUGGUCAAGACAUUGACCAUGUCAUCUGCUGGUUUUGCAGUUUUUUUGUUUUCAUGCCUUGCCAUCAUCUGCAUACUUCGAAAAAGAAAGAAGUCGACAAAAGCUGUUAUUCAAAACCAGCAUCUACAUUGGAUAUGAUAAUGUGUGAGUAUUUCAAUAUCAGUGAGCACGUCGCUACUCUGAUGAACAAACUUUACUAGAUGCCUGAUGUCAGACGUCCAAAUAGUUGUAGAAAAUGUGGUCUUACUAUAGGAGCUUGGUUAUAUCUUUUGUGCACCCUACUGAUCAACAAUAAAGAUGAUCUAUCCGUUUU